rnacentral:lncRNA from 1 species
UGUAUUUUCACUUGAUUUAUUUUUAUUAUUUGUUUAAUUACAAUUUGAAUUUAUCGGAAGAGGGUAUUAGAAUUCCUGACUUGAAAUUUCAGGUUAAUCAUUUUAUGGUGCCAAAAUUUAAUAGAUUUAAUAUAACUAUUCAUUCUUUUCCAACACGUUUAUACCUUAGUAGAUAUAUUCAUGCCGUCAGGGCCGGCGCAAAGCAGGUUCAGCGCAUUCGCCAGAACCCGGCCCCGCGUUUUGAGAGGCCCCGUGGUCUACGAAAAUUACCCAAUUAAAAAACACUGAUUUUGAUUAACUUUUUACAGAAUGAUGAUACCAUUAACAGAUGCAAGAUAUUUUUUUAGUAGCGAAGAUUCAGUUUAAAGGAGUGACAAAAAUCAUCAAAGUUCAGUGUAACUCCAUAAAGUCCUCAUAUCCUAGAAACUAUUUUAGAUAGAAAAAUCCAGACCUUUUC